ACCUGCCCAGUGAUACAUAUUUAACGGCCGCGGUACUCUGACCGUGCAAAGGUAGCAUAAUCAUUUGCCUUAUAAUUGAAGGCUUGUAUGAAUGGUUUGACGAGAGCAAAGCUGUCUCUUUUUAAUUCUAUAAAACUUGAUUUUUAGGUGAAGAAGCCUAAAUAAAAUUGAAAGACAAGAAGACCCUAUCGAGCUUUAAAAACUUUUAUUAAUAUGUAAUAAUUGAAAUAAAUCGGCUAUAAUAAAAGAUUUUAGUUGGGGCGACUAAGGAACAAAAAAGCUUCCAUUUUUAAAUUAAAGCAAAUAAGCUAUGAUCCAAAAUUUUUGAUUAAAAGAAUUAGUUACCGUAGGGAUAACAGCAUAAUCUUUUUUGAGAGCUCUUAUCGAAAAAAAGGCUUGUGACCUCGAUGUUGGACUAGAAUAUCCUAAAUGAUGCAGAAGUCUUUAAGGGUUGGUCUGUUCGACC
rnacentral:rRNA from 1 species